CCUGCAGUCGACGGUGGGCCCUUUUGGUUGGCGGUCUGUGGCAAACGGGUGAAAACAUGUGUGCUCCCUGCCCUGAACUCUGGUUUACCUGCUGGAAACGGCCUCUAAUUGUGUAUAAGAUUUGGCUUCGUGUCUUCGUGGGUGAAAAUAUUUUUCGUUUUGAUGUGGCCUCGCGCUCUAUCAUUUUGUUGGUGAUGUAGUGCCUCACCAGGGCGUCCACGGAGACCCGGUCUGAGAGGGUGACCGCCCACUGUGGGUGUGACACGCGCCCCACACUCCUAGGGGGGGCAGCUGGGGAAAAUAUUGCACAGUGGGCGGAACCGUGAUGCAGCCACCCCGCGAGGGAUGAGACGCUCUUCGUUUUGUAAACCUUUUUUAACAGGCAAAAAGCAAAUGUGACGACCCCUGCAAAAAAAACCCCGCCUAUAUACGUGCCCACCCCCGCUGUAAUACAUAGGGCGAAAGCUGUAUCCAAAUUUAGUGGGUGAAAAGAUCUCAUACGCGUUGUGUCGCGUCCGGUGAGAUUCUGCAACUCUCAUGCUCGCGCCUGCACUGUACACGGACACUUUAGUACUACAUUAGGAGAGAUUGAUUCUCGUGGUGUAGCGGAAAUGUGCACAUAUCUCGAGAAACACACCGAUGGAAAACGCAUAUCUGUGUACCAACUGUGACUCAGAAGAGCGAACGUGUGGAGAGCACACAGGCUUAUAUACUGUGAGACUACACCCCAUACACUGUGGACUAUAUGUGUGGUCCCUUUCACGCGGUUUCCGCGACACAUAUCACACAUUAUAUUCCGC
rnacentral:rRNA from 1 species